ACCAUUAUUCGAAUAUUUUAACAGCAUGCUUUGAAGUUUUUGUUUAUUUCUGGUUCAUUUUUUUUUCGUCAGUUGUCAGAGCUAGCGUUUAAACCUGCAGAAAAAGGAACAGAUUAUCGGAUCAAAAUUUUUAGAUCGUAUACGACAUGUAUCACGACGUGAAGAGAAUAUUAAGAUUAUUUGUUUUCUAGCCGGAGAUAUUGAUCUUGCCCGACGAGUGCAUCCCCGGUCAAGUUACUUAAACGGAUUCUCUUGGAACAUCCUGACUGGACACCUGUGAACAACAAGGGAGCUAUUUUCGUGGAAACUCUGCUGGCUGAUUCGUCGACCGUAAGUUGAUUAUUAUCGA